GGGUUGGAGAUUCAGUCCCAGAUAAUGCGUACAAAGUCCGACUAUAGGAGGUUUUGUAUGCCUUAUCUGGAAUUGAUCACAACC
rfam:Haemonchus contortus, ISE/inbred ISE, WGS project CAVP01000000 data, contig: Hcontortus_22720